rnacentral:rRNA from 1 species
UAGGGAAUCUUCGGCAAUGGGGGCAACCCUGACCGAGCAACGCCGCGUGAGUGAAGAAGGUUUUCGGAUCGUAAAGCUCUGUUGUAAGUCAAGAACGAGUGUGAGAGUGGAAAGUUCACACUGUGACGGUAGCUUACCAGAAAGGGACGGCUAACUACGUGCCAGCAGCCGCGGUAAUACGUAGGUCCCGAGCGUUGUCCGGAUUUAUUGGGCGUAAAGCGAGCGCAGGCGGUUUGAUAAGUCUGAAGUUAAAGGCUGUGGCUCAACCAUAGUUCGCUUUGGAAACUGUCAAACUUGAGUGCAGAAGGGGAGAGUGGAAUUCCAUGUGUAGCGGUGAAAUGCGUAGAUAUAUGGAGGAACACCGGUGGCGAAAGCGGCUCUCUGGUCUGUAACUGACGCUGAGGCUCGAAAGCGUGGGGAGCGAACAGGAUUAGAUACCCUGGUAGUCCACGCCGUACGAUGAGUGCUAGGUGUUGGAUCCUUUCCGGGAUUCAGUGCCGCAGCUAACGCAUUAAGCACUCCGCCUGGGGAGUACGACCAAGU